rnacentral:rRNA from 1 species
GACGAACGCUGGCGGCGUGCCUAAUACAUGCAAGUAGAACGCACAGUUUAUACCGUAGCUUGCUACACCAUAGACUGUGAGUUGCGAACGGGUGAGUAACGCGUAGGUAACCUGCCUGGUAGCGGGGGAUAACUAUUGGCAACGAUAGCUAAUACCGCAUAAUAUUGAUUAUUGCAUGAUAAUUGAUUGAAAGAUGCUAUUGCAUCACUACCAGAUGGACCUGCGUUGUAUUAGCUAGUAGGUGAGGUAACGGCUCACCUAGGCGACGAUACAUAGCCGACCUGAGAGGGUGAUCGGCCACACUGGGACUGAGACACGGACCAGACUCCUACGGGAGGCGGCAGUAGGGAAUCUUCGGCAAUGGACGAAAGUCAGACCGAGCAACGCCGCGUGAGUGAAGAAGGGUAUCGGAUCGUAAAGCUCUGUUGUAAGAGAAGAACGGGUGUGAGAGUGGAAAGUUCACACUGUGACGGUAUCUUACCAGAAAGGGACGGCUAACUACGUG